rnacentral:rRNA from 1 species
GUGCCAGCAGCCGCGGUAAUACGUAGGGUGCGAGCGUUAAUCGGAAUUACUGGGCGUAAAGCGUGCGCAGGCGGAUGCUUAAGCCAGACGUGAAAUCCCCGGGCUUAACCUGGGAAUGGCGUUUGGGACUGGGUGUCUUGGAGUGCGGCAGAGGGAGGUGGAAUUCCUGGUGUAGCAGUGAAAUGCGUAGAUAUCAGGAGGAACACCGAUGGCGAAGGCAGCCUCCUGGGCCAGCACUGACGCUCAUGCACGAAAGCGUGGGGAGCAAACAGGAUUAGAUACCCCUGUAGUCC